GGCAUGGCUGUGCUUUCAGUAAAAGAGAAUUUUGUGUGACCUCUAUUAGGAAGGAGGAAGGUCAUACAUAAGCAAACUAUUCAAAAGCUUAUUAUAAUCAUCAUUUCUCUAAAUAGGACUGAUACAAUGGAUUUCAGUUCUUGAAGACCCUGUUUUAAUGUACAUUGGCUGAUAUUAACUGUUUAAACUGGAGGGAACUUUCAAAGGGUUCCAUUUGGCAAACCAAAUUGUAACUGCCAAAGAUAAUUUAAUUUUAAUUUAUGACUCAUCUGGUCUUAGCAUCCACGUCCACUAUGGGAUACUUCAGGGCAAUGAGUGCUAUGACUAUGGGGAAUUUAGGCAAGACAAUAGUUAAGUUUGUGUAAUCUGUUAUGUAUGUUACUCUUACGGCACAUCUCCAUCUGGACCAGCCACAUCUUAAGUGUUCAAUAGUCGCAUGUGACUAAUGGCUUCUGUAUUGGACAGUUGGUCUAGAACUAAACCGACAAUGUCGCCAAGGUGUGCCAGUAUAAGGACAGACUGAAAGAAUCACUGGAUCUGGACCUCAGAUUUUCUUGAUGGUUGAAGGAACUAAGCCUAAAACACAACACACUUCCUCCUGAAGCUUACUUGCCUGGAGUUUUUUCCAUUUUAAGGAUAAUGCUGGCUUCAUAGAACCGGUUUAGAAAGUAUUCCAUCUGCUUCUAUCUUCAGGAUGAGAUUGUGGAGGAUUGGCAUCAUUUCUUCAUUAAAUGUUUGACAGAAUUUGAAAGUGAAAUCACCUGGGCCUAUUGCUUUCUAUUUUGAAAGAAAAACUAAUGUCCAAAGAAUAUCAAGAAAUGGAAGCCUCCCAGGCCUAACUCCUAGGCUUCCUGAUGUCAGUCUACCUUCCACCAUGGAGAUAAACAGCCAAGGACACUCAUCUGAGAAAUGCUUUGUCUCCUCUACUGGAAGCAGCCCCAGACACAGGCCGACGGGCAAAUGCUGACCAAGAAAUCCAUGGUCCACCUCCCCUACCUAAAAUCCCAAAUAAAAACCUCUAUCUGUUUCUUAAUGAAAAGCAAGCAACUUUUGAGGCACUGGCCCUUUGCUUUGCUCCCUCUGCCUGGGAAAGUAAAGCUUUCCUUUUUCUCCCAAGACUCUGUUCUUAUUAUGCCGAUUGGCAUCUGGAUCAAAGGCCAAACUUUCAGUAACAGUAAUAUUUGUAG
rnacentral:lncRNA from 1 species